rnacentral:rRNA from 1 species
UACGAGAGGCCCAAACGUUAUUCGGAAUCACUGGGCUUAAAGAGUUCGUAGGCGGCAUGACAAGUAGGGUGUGAAAGCCCUCGGCUCAACCGAGGAAUUGCGCUCUAAACUGUCGUGCUAGAGGAAGCUAGAGGUGAGCGGAACUGAUGGUGGAGCGGUGAAAUGCGUUGAUAUCAUCAGGAACACCGGAGGCGAAGGCGGCUCACUGGGGCUUUUCUGACGCUGAGGAACGAAAGCCAGGGUAGCGAACGGG